AUGGUAGCAGUUGGGCUGACCAUUGCUGUUGCAGGAUUUGCAGGCUGUUAUGUUUUACAAGCCACGAAGCAUAUGGAGCCUCAAGUAAAACAAGUUUUUCAAAGACUACCAAAAUCUGCCUUCAGCCGUGACUAUUACAGAGUGGAUUUGAAUCCAAAAUGACAAAACGGGAAGCAGCAUUAAUACUAGGUGUAAGCCCUACUGCCAAUAAAGGAAAGAUAAGAGAUACUCAUCGAAUUAUGCUCUUAAAUCACCCAGACAAAGGAGGAUCUCCUUAUGUAGCAGUCAAAAUCAAUGAAGCUAAAGAUUUACUAGAAGGACAAGCUAAAAAAAUGAAGCACAUGUAUGAUUAAUUUUAAGUUCAUAUAAAUUUAUGAGUUCCAACUUUUUUGUAAUAAAAUGCCUCAGAUAUAAAGUUUUUAAAAAUGAUUCAGCACAAACAAGCUAAAUCAAAGUUUGGGAAUAUUUUAUUUAGCUGGAGAACAGUAAGAAAA